GCUUACAUUAUGAAUCCAGCCUUUUCUUGCUAUGGGGAGACAGGAAGUGGUGGUUGGCAUAUAAUUAGACUAGCUUUGACCUUCAAGGCCAGAAUGUGAGAAAAUGGAGAGAAUAUAAGAACAUUUAUGCAGGAAACUGGGAGUCAGGAUCAAGGGGAGGAAAAGGUGUUGAAGUACCAAUUUGUACUUCCAUAGCUGGUUUCUUAUCAAUAAACUGAUAUGAAUUCUGCUAUGUCCUUCUAAUGUUUCAGCCUGGGCCUAGAAAGGUGGUGUUGACACUCGAGCUCCUGGGAGGGUGACUUAUUUCAGUGGAAAUUCGGCUCUGUAGUUCAGUUCUGCCCUUGGAAGCAACCAAAAUCGCAGUCUGCUUCAUUUGCAGUUGUCAUUUACUGCCUAGUUGUAUCCACCUGUUUUUCUGCCUCUGCUGUGGGAACAAGUCAUAUCUACCCUUUUAAACAGGGAAUCAAGGAGAAAGAUGAACACAGGAAGGCAGGAAAAAUCUGUCCAGAUGACGAUGGAGGAGGCCCCGACCACCAGCACCCUAGGGCGCAGUUCAGCACCAAAGAUUAAGCAGCCGCACAAAAAGAAGCGUGUUCAAAGACGGCAUCGGAGACCCCACCGCCCCCAACGGCAGCAGCCAGCCAAAAGCCUUGCCAAGCUAAAAGUGAGAGGCAAGAGCUGCUCAAUGCCGAAUUUGGUUUAUAAAAGAAUGACAUCUGAAAGCCAAGAGAGCAAACUGAGAUCUUGCUACCGUAACUGGAAGGAACCCUUGGUCAAAUUCCCACCAGAAUCCAGAUCUGGCUGCAUCCUGGCAACGGCAGUCAAUGAGCAGGGGCUGCCAUAUAUGUCGGGGAUGAAACUUGCAGAGAGACAUUUGUCUAGCACAGAGGGACACCCCAGAAGCCCUGGGAAUUUUUGCUGUGCAAGAGAAAAUCCAAGGAGCAGCUGUUUACCAAUGGAGCCGGGAAAGCGUGAAGCAACAGCUACGUGCCAUCUAUGUGGGGAAUGCAUGCCACAAGGUGUCUACGGUGACCCAACCAUCCAUCCAGCUUCCUUCCUGGGAAUCAAGCAACGCCCAAAGCUACAAUGGCAGGUCAGCUGAUUGAGGGGAGCUGCUGGGGCAUGAGGGCAAAAACAGGUGAAAGAUCAUGUUACCAGCACCCAGAAUCCAUAGUGUUAACAGCAGGUAAUCUCCUGCACAGAUGGUGCUAAGGAAUAACACAAAAGGUAUCUUUUCUAUGUCCCUAACCAGUUCAAAACAAUACCUGUGCCUGGACCAAAUGGCACAGAGUAGCAAAUGGUUUUCCAAAGUAGAAGAGACUCCAGCGGCUUUCCACUUUUACGAAAAGUAAGAACAAGGCAUUGGGGAUGUUUAAUGUAUAUGUCCUUAUUUUGUUGAUGUUUGUAAAAAAACAAACAUGUGAUGGCAGGAAGCCUAUAAUCUGGGCUACCAGUUCCAGAAAGAAAAAGACAAAUCAUGUUUCUCUGAAAGAUGAUGUUCUGACAACACCACGGUUUAGGGUGCAGAUUCACUGUGAGUCAGGUAAAAAAAGGAUUGCUAAUAGGUAACAGCUAUUUCUCUCUCCCAUCCUCCCUCUGCCCUUUAUUUCUACUUGCCUUUGUACCUAGGGACACCCCAGAUGAUGUCAAAUGCCCAGUUGGUAUUGAAUUUCGAAGAAGCAAGUACCCAGACACCCUACCAGACGGCCUUACAAACCUCACCCACAAAAUCAACAACCUGGUGCUUGUUAACAAUAACGAUGAUGCACUCUCUGAAAAAGAUUUCCCCGGCUCACCAGCAAAUUCAUGCACCACCCAGAUGCAGUCUACAGAGCUCUUCCAGGCAACAUGCAGGAGUUCUUCAUGGACAAACGGCCAUGAAGGAUGGCAUGGGGAACAGAGCCACAAGCCACAGGUAUUUUGGAACACGCUCUUAGCAUCGCCCACUUGUGCCAGAAGACAUCUGCGGCCAAGGCCUUUGUCAGCAAAGGAGGAAUGUGAGAAAGAUUCAGCUCAGAGACCCAGCUGUGCAGAGGACCAAGAUGGGCAGGCAUUCAAGAAAGAUGCCGAGGCUCAAAACAUACUGGAUCUCAGCAGAAAACCCACCAUCGUCCACAUCCGAAGUGCCAUUGUUAUCCCAGCCAUUACUCUGUGCUCAUCUAGUGAAAGUAUCGACUCAGAGACGCCCUCUGUCACUCCCUCCACCACCAACCAGUUUCUAUCAGAGCCCACGGGGCCUACACCCCACAGCGCACCUGGUUUUCAUCCUGUAUAGGUAGACGAAAAGCUAGCUGGGUUUCUUGCACAUCUUUCCCAGAGUGAAAAGGGAUGCACUCUCCUCUGAAAGCACGAAGAGCUGAGCGACAAGGCAUCCUGUCUGGAUGUUUGAUAGGGCUUGGACCCAGGAAUCCAGCCUUUGUUAUUGGGUCUAGUGGAACAAAGAAGAGGCAACAUUCUGGAACGCUCUUUUAACCUUGAGAGGGGCUGGGCUCCUGAAAACUCUUGUCAAGAGGUUUUAUUUCUGAAAAACUGUUUCCAAGAUGCUUUUAGAAUUGACUUGGCUCCUUGUAUUCACCCGCUGUGUUUGAACUGUAAUAAAAAAUUUCCAAGAGGUGGCA
ensembl:lncRNA